rnacentral:rRNA from 1 species
UACGUAGGGGGCAAGCGUUAUCCGGAUUUACUGGGUGUAAAGGGAGCGUAGACGGUUAUGCAAGUCAGAAGUGAAAGCCCAAAGCUCAACUUCGGGACUGCUUUUGAAACUGUGUAACUAGAGUGCAGGAGGGGUAAGCGGAAUUCCUAGUGUAGCGGUGAAAUGCGUAGAUAUUAGGAGGAACACCGGCGGCGAAGGCGGCUUACUGGACUGUAACUGACGUUGAGGCUCGAAAGCGUGGGUAUCAAACAGG